CAAGGUAUUUUUUGUCAUACCUUGAAUUGUCCCUCAUUGUGACUUUCCCAUCACCCCUCUUAGUGGAAUGGUGAAGUCCAGCCUUUUCUCUUUAAUAUUUAGUGUGUGUAAGCCGUGCAGGUGAGACAGGUGAGCCAACUCUGGACCCGAAAAACAGGAAUCUGGAAAGACAGCCAAAAAACAUCAGUAAAAGUGAGCCAGGAUCAAAAGUUCGAAAAGAUGAACUUCAAAGAAGGAUGCUGUGGUGCAGAUAAUCUGACAAGAUUGAAGAGCGGCAUCUAAACGCCAACAGCAACAAUAACACCAGUGGACAUGCUAUUGUGUCACGUACUCCUGCCUCUCCAUCUAAUCAGAGGAUGUCAUUGUGUCCCACAUCACUAUUUGGGAGUUUGACAUAGAGCCUGGUUCCAGCACCUGGUCACUCUUCUACACUAACAUGUCAAGAGUGAUGCUUAGCCUGACUGGGAGAUUAGGAAGACAGGACCGAUCACCACGCAAGGACCGAUCCCCAACUCAACCUGUGAGCAGUGUAGCUCCUCUACCUGCCCUAGCCCAGGCUACUGCCAAAUUGAAGAAAGAUCAAACGCUCCAUGGCAUUGUCUUGGGACAAGAUGGGCUGACCUUUGACCCGACCUCAGUAGCCAUGUGGUGCUUUGCACCCCGAAUGACCUCUUAGAUGUAGGCCUGGACGAUGUCAAGUACAGAGAGUUCCAGCUUCAUCUCAUUGAUUAGGCUUAAUUAAGAUGUGUCUGAAUAUCAUGUCCUAAAUAACCAAUAAAUGGAACACGAAGACUCUAACUUUGUAGUUUCUUCUUACAAUUUAUGUCCAGAUAUAUUUGAUAAAAGCUUUAGAUAACUCUUUCCAAAUUCAGUAAGUUUGUUUCAUGUGAACAUUCGGUCACUACAGAAAAAUUAGGAUGAAAUAUCCCUUCUCUAUGAUAACUUAGAUUCUAAAUUUGAUAUAAUUUCCUGCUCAGAAGGUUGGAAUGUGUCUAACACGUCACUACUGAGUUUACCUUAGAGGUUAAGUGUAGAAAAGAUUCAAGGGGACGGGAGCAGGGGCAUAUAUCUGUUCAUCUUUAAAAUAUCCCACUCUAAAUUUUGAAGUAUCACAUGCAGAAAGCCUUUGGCUUGAAAUGUGUAUUGACAAGAAAAGAGUAAUUGUAGGUAUAAUAUACAGAAAACCAAAUACUGAUGUGUGGAUGAGUUCCAAGAUAAGUUGUUAAAUGUUACUUCACAUCUGAAAAGGUAAAUUGCAUUUUGAUGGGAGACUUUAACAUCAAUCUUUUAGAUACUGAUCAGAAGGUCGAACAUUCAAAACUGCAUUGCAUUGCGUAGGAUUAGAGCAAUUAAUUACAACCCCCACAAGGAUUACAAAACUGACUUCUUCUUUGAUUGAUCAUGCAUAUACAAAUUUAAAUCUUCAAAAAAUUCAUGCAGGUGUAAUAGAAACUGAUAUAUCUGACCAUUUUUCUAUCAUUGUAAUUUUUGAGCAAUGUACAGUUACUAGUAAUGAUACAUAAAAUAGGAGAAUUGUCUACUGUAGCUUUACAAAUUAUGAAGAUAAAAAGCUUCAGGAUGAAUUAUCAAUAUCAAGAUGGGAUUUUAUUUUCAAACAAAAAGACAUGAAUAAAGCAUAUAAUAAUGAUAAUGGUGGCUUCUUCUAUAGCUCACAUGUCCGUCACACUGACGCUCUUGGCGCUGCCCUGAUUAUUACCCUGGCUUUAGCAAGGCAGCCAUUACGGCACUCUAGCAUAUGACAUGUUUUACAAGUUAUUUCAAGAGAUAUGUGAUAAACAUGCACCAAUCGUAACACAAAGACCAACAGAUUGAUCAGUAUUUCUCAUGGAUUGAGCAUAUAAAAAUGGUACAGUAAAUCAAAAGAUUCGUUAAAAAGUCAGAAUUUUGUUCAGAAUAAGGCAUUAUGUUCCACAGAACAUUUAAGUGCUUUUAUACAAAGCGUUAAUCCAGCCACAUAUUUUGUAUGGAAUUGAGGUAUCCGGAACCACAUACAAAACCAAUUUGAAUUGUAUUUUCCUUACCCAGAAAAUGGCGAUGAGAGCAAUAACCUUUAGCCCAAGAGGUACCCAUUCAGAACCCCUGUUCCUAAAGACACAAUUUUUUUCAAUAAUUACAACCUUCAUUUCCUAUCUGUCUCAACCUUCAUCUAUAAGUUAUUGGCAAUCUUCCUCACUCCUUAAUUGAAUACUGUCAGAUAAUAAAUAGAGCACAGAUAUAGCACAAGGCGCAAAGAACACGGACAACUAAAUCUGCCUAAAUGCAAAACCACACAAGGUCAAUUUUAGAUAUCAUUUAUGGGCAUGAAAAUAUGGAAUAGUGUACCAUAUGAUUUAAGAGCAAAAAGAUCUAAAAAUGCUUUUUGGAAGAGGUUAAUGAAACAUCUAAAUACUUUGAGUUAAACAAACGUUAAGACUAUCUUUCAGAUCGAUCAUGCUCUGUUCUCAUUAUAUAAUGCACUUGUAUUACCACAUUUAUCAUAUUGUGUCAGUGUCUGGGGUAUAAUUGUGGCAAACUAAAAAUGAACAUCUUAUUUAAAUUACAGAAAAAGUACCGGUACUGCAUAUUUGUACCAGUAGCCAUUAUCUUGCUCAUUCCGCUCCUCUUUUUAUCAAUCUCAAAACCUUGAAAAAUUUGAUUUAUACCAGUAUCAUACAGCAGUGCUAGGGUUCCUUUAUUUUCAUAAUCUUCUUCCAUAUACAAUUUCGAACAUGUUUCCUACAAAUCUUAGUAUUCAUAAUUAUAACAAGAGAAAUCGAACCAAUUUUCAUCGUUGGAAAACUAUGUUUAUGUAUGAAGAAAAAUCUCCUUGGUGUAAUCUCCCGGUGAUUUGGAAUUCAUUACCAAAAUAUAUUCCCCUUUGCAAUAACCAAAGAUUAUU